rnacentral:sRNA from 1 species
UCUAGUAGAUAUGAAAGGUCUAACUUUUCUAAUACGUUUCCUUUUAUUGUCAGUGUCAGUUUCUCAGCAUGAUUGCCAAUAUUCGUCAUGUACGUCGAAGUGUUUGCUUGAUCCGUGUGUGACGUCUCUCUGUACUUAUCCGGGAGCUCGUUGUUUGUACGUUUCGGGGUUUUUUAAAAAAUAUUUUAAUAUUGUUUACAUUUAUAUUCUUUUGUGUGUAUUAAAGUUUUACUAGAUCGAACUUACUACAUGCAUUCCAAGCACCAAAAUGCACCGUUCACAAUAUAUACAUCAGUGUGAGAGAUUUUUAUUAAAAUGUACUUUUAAGAUAAAAUGUUCUCUGAGCAUGUAAAAGAUUUCUAUUCAAAGCUAAUUAAUGUAGAUAUCAUGGUAGUAGAAUAAUAGUAUAAAUUGUAGCAGGCUUGGGGCGAAUUACAAAGUAAAGUAAUGCAUUACAUUACCAUUACUUCAUGAAUUGGGGCAUUUUACCAUUUAUUUACCAUUACUUAAUUUUCUUGAAGUGCAUUACAUUACCGUUAAAUGAGUAAAGUAAUGCAUUACCAUUACCAUUCCUUUGUGAAAAGUCAAUAAGAUUUAAAAAAGUAAUUUAAAAGCUAAAUAAAGAGAGUUUUCAUGGAUGUUUCAUAAAUAAAACAUGCUUAAACAUAUUUACAAGUUCAUAUUAUGUAGUUGAAAGUUGUAUGUAGGACUAACUACUGCGGUGGAUGCGCGGCUGUUUGGUUAGAUGGAGACAGGCGACUGACCACAGAGGAAUGUGGUGGUACAGAAGCACCUUCUGCAGCGCCUAUAACUAAGUGCUUAGACACUCUAUCAAACUGUGCUUCCUAUGGUCGUUCAGCUUGUUUGCCCCCGUACACAUUAUGGGCCAGAAAACAUUGUCCUUUGUUUUGUGGCUUUUGCACAGUUACACCAGCGGCGCCUGUGAAUAACUGCUCGGACAAACUACCAAAUUGUGCUGACUACGCUCGUUCAGUCCGUUCAGUGUGUACGCCAUUGUACGCGUCAUGGGCCAAAAUCAACUGUGCUCUGUUUUGUGGCUAUUGUUCAAUUGAUACAACACCGACGACAGCCACAGCGCCAUCUACCAAAUCCACAAAAGAUACUCCGUAACUUCCUGUUGAGUUGGCCAUUUCUUUCCUUCUAGUAUAUAUGUAUUUUAUUUGAUCUAUGGUUAAUUAAAAGUAUACC